rnacentral:other from 1 species
UGCCAUCUGUACUGUUUGCGACCGAUUAAGAUCCUGGUCCGAUAGUUACUAACUAAGGGAACUUUAGUUGCGAUAUCGGCGUGAAUGCCCAGCUUGACUGGGAAUCCCAAGAUACUGCACGAGGUGCCCACCUGAAUCUCACGGUUCAGGACGCUAUAAAGGCGCGGCAGUGGCGGUUGGCAC